CCUGUUGAGCUCCCCCGAGCUCCCCUGGUGGUCAGAAAAGGGAAAUAUCUCAAUAACGGCAGCCCUCCCAGCCAGAGAGCUUAAAGAGCAAGUAACGUCUAAAUUAACUUUUUUUUGCUGAUGAACUGUAUAAAUGAGUGUCUAAUAGUGUUUUAAAUGUGUGUAUUCAUUAUUUUAGCAUUUUGGUGCAUUUUCUUUAAAAAUUAAAAAUUCUGCCUAAAUACUACAGUAUAGCUCCACCUUCAGCUUAAAACAUAGAAUUUGACUCAUUUUGAAUAAAUUUUAGCGAAUGGCUAAAGAGUAAGAUACUACGUAAACCAGUAGAGUACUACGUAGCAGCUCUGUGUCAAAGUUAUAAAGCAACGAGCGUCUCGGCCACGCCUUGUGGCGAGUUGGGAGUUGGAUUUGCAAGCGAGUGUAGGAGGCUAGCCGUAGUUCAGCAUUAGCAUAUAGCAUUAGCAUAUCCUAGUCUUUAGCAUAGCUUUUAGUGUUAUACAUACUUAUUUACAUACUUGGCUGUUGGAUAUUGUAGUUUAGUUAGUGUUUGGCUGUUAGUGUAAUUAGGAAAGUAGUUCGGGUUUAGUGCUCCAUAUCGUGUUAGCAUGGUGAGAUGGUGUAGUGUAGUAUGGUUGCGGUAGCUCUGUGGGGUUGCACUCCUUUCCGCUGGACUCCCGCCUGGUGCUGUAGUUUACAACCAGCAUUUUACCCGCGAUUCUGCACGUCUCCGUUUGAAGAGGGAGGCUGUGCCCACCGUGGCUCUUCCGCGAUUUAGGUGCAGCCCGCCGACUCUGCUCCCCCACCACGGCGGGCUCCAGUCUGAGGUGAGUCAGCUAAAUAAAGUUUUAACGUCUUCUAAAGACAAUUCCCUACCUAAAUGCAAAGUCCGAGAGACGUGGUUCACUUCCUUUAGCUAGUCAGUCGGUAAUUCUGCAACAGUGUCUCUAACUAACGCAGCACUAGUUGACAGACAGCAUUACAGUGUGAAAUCCAGCUUGUGACCCGGUUCUGUGAGGAAUUCUGUUCAGGAGGUCGCAUUUCAGGCUCUCCACAUCAUAUGUGACUGACUUUUACGUUAUAACAACGAUCACACACUAGGAAUGUUAGAAAGCACCUUUAUAGGACAGUUUCUUUUGUAUUUUAUCUGACUUUAUAAACUCCCAACAACAAUGUGCUUCUAUUUUUUUUUCAGGCUAAAUCUACCCAAGACACUGGCUGUCAGACUGAUUUAGCUGCAAGAAUGCACUUGUCCAGGCUGAUGUGAAGCUUUACCGGCGUAGCAAAGGUGAAUUAUUUUUAAUAAUCUUCUAUGUAAACAUUUUAUUAUUACCUUCUAGUUUUAAUUUGUUUUACAGAUUAUUGUUACACAUGAUUUUAUGCUCUUUUAAACAUUUAUAAAUGUGCUGCUUCUUUGUUUUUGUACAUAGCCAGCCAGAAGAGCUCACAGCCUCAGUGUGUCUUGUGACACGGGGACCUUGAUGGAAAUUCAUCUUCCAGAAAGUCGCAGAGCAGCGUCUACACCCCCUGAAAAGACCACGAUGUGAGGUGUCUGCUGUUGAUUCCAGCUUCCACCUCAGUGACAGUGCAAGCUCAGUGAACUGUUCAAGGAGGCUACUGAUUCUGGCCCUGUGACACUUGGUGGUGACGUGUGAGCUGAUUCACCUGGACACUCAGCAAAAUAUGGACUCUACACCAUGAGGCAGGCACACGUUAAUACUUAUAAGAGCACAUAAGCCUGGCUGAUCACCUGAUAACUCCUGUCAUCUGGUUGUGACAGCAUGAGGAUGUCCUCACACACCUGUAACCUAUCAGCUCAUCUGGCAGAAAAGAGAGAGAAGAGACAACACCACAUCUCCUGUUCCUGGAAAGCCUUCAGCCAUCCUUCGAUGACUGAGAACCUCCUUCAGCUCGGUCUCCUGUCUGCCUACAAUUAUUAUAAUAAAUAUUGUGUUUGACAAGUUUUUUGUGCUGCCAAAUAUCUCAUUUUGAUUCCAGUUUUGAUAUUUUAAUGGAUAUUUAUAAAUUACAUUAAUUGAAUUAUCACAUUGUCGCAUGUUUAACUAGCUCUAUUGUGAUGAAUUAAACUAGCACCUCACUGUUAAAAGCUCGUUUUAAUUUCAAGCAUGUUUAAGUAUUUAUGGACAUGAACAAAAAUAGGAAAUCUAUCAAUUGAGAUUUAUUUAAUUAAUAUAACAAAUAAGGGGGCAAGAGUCAUUGAAAGGCACAUUCUUCUGGAAGCUCCUGAUCCUGACGACACCAGCAGAGGAGACCACCUGCAGACACCAGAGACCACCUGCAGACACCAGAGGACCUAGAACCGAGAGAGCAGCUGUUAUUAGUAAAUAAAUAAAGAAAUCAGGGCAGUUUUAGUGGGCUGAACACAUUACAGAAUAAUUUUCUCAUGGGAUAUUUUCAUAACUUUAUGCAGCAGACUGUAACUUGAGCCCAAGGCUCCUGGAGACCUGCUAUCCAGCACGUUUCAGUGGUUUUCCUGCUUUAACAGGUUAGAUUAGCUGUUAAGCAGCUCAGCUAUUUGUUGCUGAUUAAAGCCAGGUGUGUUGAAGCAGAUAAACCUCUAACACAUGCUGAAUACUAGCUCUAGGGCCGUGGAGACAAACCCUGCAGCUAAUCUGAUGCUAUGGCUAACGGCUACUUACGUUCAGAGAUGGUUCUGUUGGGUCGGUUCCUGUAGUUUCAGGCAACUCACAAGCUCAAAACAAUAAGGCUCAGGUCCGCUUGUCUCCUCCAAAUAGACUUGGUCCCUUUCUUCUCGAGUGUCUGUGUAAGGAGGGGGAGAAACGUCCUCCACUUCUAAUGACUGCUCAGAGUGAAGGGAGCUAGCAUCGUCAAGUUAGCCGUCGUCGUCGUCACUGCCGCGGCUCCGCCCUCUCGGUCCUCCAGGUAACGUCUACUAAUGUUGCAGUUUUUAAAAUUGAUACGUGGGUGGAGUAAGACUCUGAGGGGGGAGUGACAACUUCUUUAA